rnacentral:rRNA from 1 species
AACGAACGCUGGCGGCAGGCCUAACACAUGCAAGUCGAGCGAGGACUUCGGUUCUAGCGGCGGACGGGUGAGUAACGCGUGGGAAUGUGCCCUUCUCUACGGAAUAGCCCUGGGAAACUGGGAGUAAUACCGUAUACGCCCUAUUGGGGAAAGAUUUAUCGGAGAAGGAUCAGCCCGCGUUGGAUUAGGUAGUUGGUGGGGUAAUGGCCUACCAAGCCGACGAUCCAUAGCUGGUUUGAGAGGAUGAUCAGCCACACUGGGACUGAGACACGGCCCAGACUCCUACGGGAGGCAGCAGUGGGGAAUCUUAGACAAUGGGGGCAACCCUGAUCUAGCCAUGCCGCGUGAGUGAUGAAGGCCUUAGGGUUGUAAAGCUCUUUCAGCUGGGAAGAUAAUGACGGUACCAGCAGAAGAAGCCCCGGCUAACUCAGU